rnacentral:rRNA from 1 species
AUUGAACGCUGGCGGCAGGCCUAAAACAUGCAAGUCGAACGAGUGGCGGACGGGUGAGUAAUGUCGGGGAAACUGCCUGAUGGAGGGGGAUAAAUAAUGGAAAAGGUAGAUAAUACCGCAUACCAUCGGAUGUGCCCAGAUGGGAUUAGCUAGUAGGUGGGGUAAAGGCUCACCUAGGCGACGAUCCCUAGCUGGUCUGCGCGGAUGACCCGCCACACUGGAACUGAGACAUGGUCCAGACUCCUACGGGAGGCAGCAGUGGGGAAUAUUGCACAAUGGGCGCAAGCCUGAUGCAGCCAUGCCGCGUGUAUGAAGAAGGCCUUCGGGUUGUAAAGUACUUUCAGCGGGGAGGCGUUACCCGCAGAAGAAGCACCGGCUAACUCCGUGCCAGCAGCCGCGGUAAUAC